CUCAAGGAAUCUCAUCCUAAUGUGAGUCGGUGUCUUCAAGACAGGGAAGUGUGCUGGGACUGAGGACAAAGUGCUGUGAAAUGGUCAACAUCCAGUCUCUGAGAUACAAUGAAUCUAGUCAUGACAUUAUGCUGUAAAGGCAUACCUGCAGUCUCUUUGUUCUCCGAAUCAGCUGUUACUGAAGACACUAAAGAUUCCAAAUCCUGGUCCAGUGAUAUGACUCGCUUCCUUGUUGUGCAGGUGACAUCCUUACCAGGUUUGGGCCUAGAUGAACACGGUAAUGGAGGACCACUGGUUAACCUGUAAACAAAUACAGAAGCACAGAAUGCGAUUAAGACACUUGAGAAAAUGUAAUUCCCUUUUAGACCUUUAAUGC